AGUGAACGCUGGCGGUAGGCCUAACACAUGCAAGUCGAACGGCAGCACAGUAAGAGCUUGCUCUUACGGGUGGCGAGUGGCGGACGGGUGAGGAAUACAUCGGAAUCUACUUUUUCGUGGGGGAUAACGUAGGGAAACUUACGCUAAUACCGCAUACGACCUACGGUUGAAAGCAGGGGAUCUUCGGACCUUGCGCGAUUGAAUGAGCCGAUGUCGGAUUAGCUAGUUGGCGUGGUAAAGGCCCACCAAGGCGACGAUCCGUAGCUGGUCUGAGAGGAUGAUCAGCCACACUGGAACUGAGACACGGUCCAGACUCCUACGGGAGGCAGCAGUGGGGAAUAUUGGACAAUGGGCGAAAGCCUGAUCCAGCCAUACCGCGUGGGUGAAGAAGGCCUUCGGGUUGUAAAGCCCUUUUGUUGGGAAAGAAAAGCAGCAGGUUAAUACCCCGCUGUUCUGACGGUACCCAAAGAAUAAGCACCGGCUAACUUCGUG
rnacentral:rRNA from 1 species